AUAACAAAAAAUGGGUUUUAUUUUUCUAUACAGUCCUCAAACCUGGAAGAUAUGUUUUGUUCCUAACCAAUCCAUUCUUUAAAUGAAUUGAAGCCUGGCUGCUGGUCUUCCUUUGGGGAAAUACACAGGGAAAGAAAAAAAACUACUUGAGUGUUUCUACUGACCCCCCACCAGAGAUCUGCUUAUGAGUGCAUGGGGAUUGCGGUGGACCUUCAUCUCCUGUUUUAAACAGACUUUGGAGGCUGGCGCAUGAAUCUUCAUUCACAAAAGGUACUUUCAAUAUCAAUAAGGCCACCCAUGUAUUUUAAAAAGAUGUCUUUUACAUAGGUGUAUAGAGAAACCAAAGUGUCAGAACACAAACAGGUAUCAACAGUGACUGUGGAAGUUCCAUUAUUCUUGGGAGUUAUGUCCAGCAACACAAACCAAUCAUAUCCAGCAUGUACAUUGGAUCUGCUAACUUUACUUUAGGAUACCUAGGAUUUUGAAAGUUCACCAUGUUCAGGAAAGAAGACAUUUUACUUGGUAAAUGAAGGAGAGAAAAAUUGCAAGGGAGGAGGUGUAUAGUUUUCAUGGUGCAUUUUUUAAGUACUAUGACUAGGGUGAAGAUGGGGAUUUCACUUGGAUAACUGAGGCUUGGUUAACUGAGGAACAGAAACAACACAUCUCUGUGAUGAUUAACAGAUUAUUAAUAGCUGGCCAUACCAAGUUUGAACCUGACCACCCCAUUUUGGAGUAUAGAAGAUAGCACAUUCUGUUCAUCAGUCAAGGAAACAUAUACACAGCCUUCUACAUAUUGUCCAGAAUCAGAAGAAGCCAGUGGUGUUUUAUAAUUGAAAACCUCAGUGACAUCUCUUCAGAAUUUUUUCUAGACCUUUGAAAUUUUAAACUAAAAAAUCAUAACAUGUAUAUCACAGAGAGAAGACUAUCCGUUUUUUUAUUUAUUUUUUUUUUAUUUUUAUUUUUUAUUAUUUUUUUUUUAAACAUCACUUUAAAGUAUGUGAGUGUCCAUAUUAUUUGUAUUCUAAUAAAUUUAAAGUUCUGAA